rnacentral:tRNA from 1 species
GCGGGAAUAGCUCAGGGGUAGAGCAUCAGCCUUCCAAGCUGAGGGCCGCGGGUUCGAAUCCCGUUUCCCGCUCCA